UUCAGUCUUGUUUAACUUAGACUGAACUAUGGGGUUCAGUCUGUUUUUAACUAGCCUGACCAUAAGCCUUUUCAAAGAAGAACGUUUUCAGUCUGAUCUUAAAUACAGAGACUGUGUCGGCCUCUUUAAUAUUAGCUGGAAGCUGAUUCCAUAAGACAGGAGCGUGGUAACUAAAGGCUC